CUUCCUUGGUAUUCACAUAUUCAGCAUGUCUCCAGUUUUGGCUCUCUGACAAAUGACAUCGUGCUACUGCAUCAAGUAACAAAGAAGGGUGGAGAAUGCUGUUAGAUAACUCGACGUGUUUUAAACACCAGUACAGCUUUUGUAGGGCUGCCAAGCUUCAAGUACACUCCAAAAGAGCAAGCGGGGGCCUUUUUUAGCUGCAAAUGAGAUACCUGGAGUUCAGAAGGACAGAACAAAGAUUCUGGUCUGCAUCUAACCAAGCUCAGGCUUUCAGAUAUCAGAAACUGAGCAUCUGAAGAUAACAUCUGGUAAUUUCAUUAAGAGAUUUGUAUUUGAACCUUGGGUCCGUGGGACUUUUCCCAUUUUUCUGACUUCCACAUCAAGCAAGGGAACAGCAGGAGUGACAAGCUUCAGUUGGUUAGGACUGGGAACCUCCACCAAUGUUUAUUUUUUAAGAGGAAUGAAGCAAAUUUUCUUUGAAGUAACAUAUUUGCAGAUCUCGAUCUGACAAGAAGGAAAUACAUCAUGAUUAGGCUGAUUUCUGCUUUACGAGGAAAAGAAGUCUAGUGUGCUUCAGGCUAGAAGCGACUUUCACUGUAAAUAUACAACAGUUGCUGAGAUUACUGGGAACAAGCAUGAAGCACACACAAAUCAAAGGAAUUGAACAGCUAAAGCCCUGCUCAAUUUACUGAGAGGCUACUAUGCUUCUGGUAUGUCAAGAUCUAUUUGUCUAAACGUUAUCGGUAAAAACAACAUAAUGUAGUGAACUGAGCCUGGGACUGCGGAGGCCAGAAAUCAAUAUUCUGAUCUUGGCCCUGCCUCAGAUGCACGCGGUGGCCCCAGAGUAGCUGUUUAAUCUCCCUGCGUGCUCACCAGAGAUAAAGCAGCUCAAACACAAUGAACUAUCUCCUCCACCGAAGAGUUGUGCAGAGCAGCUCACAGCUUCCGUGUGCUUCUCCGAAGACGUGAAUUGUUACAGAAAUAUUAUCCUUACGUGCGAGACUUCUCCACGUUUGUCUCCAGGAAAAUGUAAGCCGUGUGUCUUUGGAGCUGAGAUUUCGGGUCUGUUCUCCACCAGAAGACCUCGCUCCAACCCCACUGGAGAUUCCAGACGCAGCCUGGUGGCAGCACAGAAGCCACCUGGGUAUCUGCCACAGAAUAGAAGCUACCUCCUCAGAAGUUACUGGCUUAAUGCAGAAAUAACAGGAGAGAAGCACCUAUACCUAUGGCCUCUGUUAUUUGGGAGGUAA
rnacentral:lncRNA from 1 species